rnacentral:lncRNA from 1 species
GGGUUGCUUCCAGGCUGGGGUCUAAUUGGAGCUACAGCUGCCAGCCUAUGCCACAGCCACACAGGAUCCUGAACCCACUGAGUGAAGCCAGGGGUCGAACCCGCAACCUCAUGGUUCCUAGUUGGAUUUGUUUCCGCUGCCAUGAUGGGAACUUCUAGAAGUUUUAUAGUAUUAUGUUUUCCACUUACAACCACGAUCCCUUGGAAGUUAAAUUUUGUGUAAGCUGUGAGGCUGAAGUCAAAAUUCAUUUUUUUGCUUCUGGAUGUCCAGGGGUUCCAGCCCUAUUUGUUAAAAAGUCUCUCUUUCUUCUGUUGUUCUGCUUUUGCAUCUUUGGCAGAAAUCAGUUGGGCAUAUUUGUGUGGUGAAUAGUUUUUGAAGUUCAAGUGAAAUAGGAAGUUGCAGAGCAAUAUUCUCGCUUGAAAUAUUCUCAUUUGUAAACAUAAAUAUUCGUACAUCCACAUAGACAUAUAUACAUAUUCACAAAGCUAUUUGUUGUGAUUCUCUCUGAAGGUUGAGGUGGGAAGAGUUUCGCCUUAUAUACUUAAAGGUAAUAGCGUACUGAACAUUUAUUAUGUGACAGGUGCAAUUUAAAAUUUUGUAAUUCAUUAAGGUGCCAUUGUACAAGCUAAUCGUAAUGGUAACGCUCUUGGUUAGUGAGUUUUUACCAGUGUCACAUGGCCACGUAAGAUACCGUCCUUACGUGGCUGACGUAUAUCCUCUCCCUCCACUGUCACACCGACCCCAUGAGUUAAUUUCUGUCACUAUUCCUGUAUUACAAUGAGGAGACAGAGCUUUAAGACGUUGUGUGCCCAGUGCCCCACGAAAGCCACAGAGAUGUAGGCUCCGAUAUUCUGACACGGCAAACAGCCCUCUGAGCCCCGUGUCCCGCUGUCUAUCUGUGUUUUGUUUGACUCACCUGACAACAUAGAAUCGUGUUGUUUAUAAUCACAGAAGGAAAAAGAUGACUUCAAACAAUGCAAUCUGAUUUGCCAAAGGAAAGACGUGCCUUCUCUUUGACCCAUUCAGCGGAAGCAGCACGGCACCGGUGGUCUGAGCCCUCUGGUCUGUGCAGGUCUAUGAACAUUUUCUCUUCAGGGCGUCUUCCCGCAGGCAAACUUCUCAACCUUCUAAAGUAUUCUGAUGUAGUUUCCAAAGAGAGACCACUGUCGAAAGAAUAUAUUUUUUCCUUGAGAAUUACACCCAGCUGGUUUCAGACAGCUUCUGAGAAGGAGCUGGUCUCUCCACCCAUUUCUUCUGUAUUCCAAGGAAACAAGACAGAGCCAGAAAGCUCUGCUACAGGACAGGACCCAAGGGCUCACUGAGGUCUUUCUGACCUAAAGUCAUCUCCCCAGAAUGCACCCAAAGGCAAACGGAGCGCAUUCUUUAAAUAUUUCUGGAUUUUUUUUUUUUUUAAAAAGCAAGCAUUAUUGUAUUCCUUUUACUAAAUAACAACCCUCUAGCAAGGAAGUGGUAAAUAAGUGUUAAAAUUAAAAUGUAAUUAAUUUUAAUUAAACAGUAAUUAAAAUAUAUACGUAUUCACCGCAGUAGAAACACUCUCAAUCACCGCAAAUCCUGUACAUGAAGGAAAAAGGGGGUUUGGUGAAAAAAUUCCAAAAUGCUUUCCCUCAGUCUUCUUAGUCUCCAUUUUUUUUUCUCUGAUUCACUGCCACCUUCCCAUAUCCUCAGACCUCCACAAAAAAUAAAACGUGGAAAUUAAAAUAAAAUUUAAAAAUAAAAAUGUUUAGGGUAGAAUUAUUUUACUAAGAGCUGGUACUUCUGCCCUGGAUAUAUUUCUUCCAUACUCAUAUCCUUUCUGUUUUGAUGGCCACUGGCUCCACGUGGGCUCAUGUCACCUGUUUCCAUCCGUAGUCUUAUCAUUUUUUUCUGACUUCUCCUAACUCCAGCCCUGCUUCUCCAGUCAGUCCUACCCCCGCUGCCAGAUCAACUGUCAGAAAAUACAGCUCUGGCCUUCUGCAUCCUUGCCCAAAGAUCCUCAAUGGCGCCCCACUGCCUUCUGAUGCAAGUACAGAGUUCUCGGUUUGGAAGUCAAGAACAGUCACAAAAUGAGUCCAGUCCAAUUUUUCCUGCUUUCUUCCCCCACCAUUGGCCUUGACCGGCCGUCUCUGUCUGACCUCAAGGAGGACCAUUUCCAAGACAGCCUUCCCAUCUCUGUGCUUUUCAGAGCCUGUCCCCCAGAAAGGUUUUUCCUAAUUCUCUCCAGUUUGGCCAAGACCUUGAACAUUUUCUAACGAUAAUCCUCAAGUUCACAUAGCAGCCUGCAGUGCAGAAGCCCCUUCUUGGCAUUUUUACGGAUACGCCCAUAGCCCACCUGCAGUUGCAAUAGGAAGCUGAACGUUGAGGUUUUUGUUUACGUUAAUGAAAAGAUGAAAGUGAAACCAUGUUUGCUUGAACUUUACUGAUUCAUUAGUGAUGCUGUACUACCUUGCUGACUUGAAUAAUAGCUUUCGAAUACUGGAUGAAUAUUUCCUCAAAUUUUUGUGCUAUUCACAAUGCCCUAGUGCAGAUAUGGCAGGAUUUUAAUGUUAAUCUGUGUUAUAAACAUUGUUUCCAACAUGCUCUUAGGUGUGGAGAAUCAAAAUAACACUAAAUUGAGCCUUCAUUUGUAGGGUUUGCGCAUUCCUAUGGUGUAAAUACUCCCAUCAUAGCUGAUGUCAAGCCACCAAUCCCACACUGUUGAACACAGAGUUGGAAGGAGAUGUGUGGCAUCACAUCAUUGUAUAACAUUUUUGGGAGUUCCCAUUAUGGCUCAGGGAUGACGAACCCAACUAGUAUCCAUGAGGACCUGGGUUUGAUCCCUGGCCUCGAUCAGUGAGUUAAGGAUCCAGCAUUGCUGUGAUCUGUGGUGUAGGAGACAGAUGCUACUUGGAUCUCACAUUGCUGUGGCUGUGGCAUAGGCUGGCAACUACAGCUCUGAUUCGACCCCUAGCCUGGGAACCUCCAUAUGGCACAGGUGCGGCCCUUAAAAAAAAAAAAUCAUACAUAUACAAUGGGAAUAAAUAAUCUAAAGAACAUAGUUAACUGUAAAAUCAUCGGGAGUAGUCGAUUAAUUUUCAGCAAAGGAACCAGUGCAGUUCAGAGUGAAAAAUGUUUGUCUAUAUGGAAAAAAAAGAACGUUGAGUUAGAUCUUACACCAAAUAUAAAAACCAACUGGAGAUGGUUCAUAGACCUAAACGCAAAAGCUAAAACUGUAAAGUUUCUAUAAAGUAACUAGGAGAAUGUCUCUCCAACGUUUAAGUGAUCAAAAGUUUCUUAGAACACAAAAUGUAGUAAUAAUUAUACGAAGAAAAUUGGCAAAAAUGGACUUCAUCUAAAUUAAGCAAGGUGCUCUUCAAAAGACAGCUAGCUUUAAAAAUAAAUAGGCAAGACACAGACUAGGAUAAAAUAGUUGCAAUGCAUGUAUAUCUGUUAGUAUUCAUAUUCAAAACAUCAAAUAUAUACAUAACAGCUAGAACUCAAUAUUCAAAAGACAACACCAUUUAAAAUAAAAUAGGCUAAGACGCAAACGAGAGCAGAACAAAGGAAAAUAUCAAAUGGCCAAUAAGUGCCUGAAAAAAAGGUCCAACUGGAGUCAUUAGGAAAAACACAGACUUAAACUGUGCGAUAAUGUUGUGUAGCCACCAGGAUGGCUCAAAUAAAAGAGACUGACAGCACCAGAUGUUGCAGCGGACCUAGUGGGAGGGCAGAAUGGGAAAAUCACCUUGAAAAUCGGCCCAGCAGUCUCGUAACAGUAAACCCGUACCUGUCCCAUGACCCAGCGGGGUCUCUCAGAUGUUUCCCCAGAAGAAAUGAAAGCAUGGAUACAAUAAGACGUGUGCAGACAUAGUGAAAGACACUCAUUAAUAGAUAACCGUGAAGAGAGGUGUUCAUCCGAAUGAAAUAGAUCAACAGUGUGUGAUCCAGCCACACGGUAGACUACUGCACGGCAAGAGAAAGUAACAAACGGAGUUCCCAUCAUGGCACGGCGGAAAUGAAUCCAUCCAGGAUCCAUGAGGUUGCAGGUUCAAUCCCUGGCCUCGCUCAGUGGGUUAAGGGCCUGGCGUUGCCAUGAACUGUGGUGUAGGUCGUAGACACAGCUUGGAUCCUGCGUGGCUGUGGCUGUGGCUGUGGUGUAGGCUGGCAUCUACAGCUCCGAUUAGACCCCUCGCCUGGGAACCUUCAUAUGCCGCGGGCGCAGCCCUAAAAA